rnacentral:lncRNA from 1 species
AUGUGUAAAGUGAAAAAUAAAGAAAAAGAGGAACAAAAAAAAAGUAGACAAGAGAGAUAUGGUAAGGAAACAAAAUCAAAAUAUUAUUUAAAAAUAUUGGGAAUUUGGUACUCGUUCAGUCGUUCUGGUACUAGAUUUUGAAAAUUCGCAGCCCGCUUUGAUACCAAUCGUUGUUGAUUCGGUACCGAAUGUUGGAGUUUGAUAACAAAAGCGUCAAAUUGAGUUUUUACCGUCAACCCAUCUUUCUAGCAAAAGCUAAUACAAUCACAAAAGAAAAAAACAACCAAAUAGAAAAAUACGUGGAUAAAAUGAGAUUCAUCAAAUAAGAGAAGAUUACACAUGACUUCUAGCUACAAAAGCCGCACACAUCCUUUUGCACUCAUGCACUAGGUGCAUUCAAAAUUAUGACCAUCUUGGCAUGGGUGUGAUUAAUCUGUACCACCAUCCAAAAUAAUAGCACAUAUGCUAUAUUUGUAGCUUACGUUUAUAACUUACGUACAUCAAAAGCUACCCAAAUUUUAGUCCAAUUAGAUUUCUACUCUAAUUAAUAUUUAAAUUUUAAUUUAUCUUUAAAAGAUUUAAAUAUUAAUACUGACCCAACUAGAAAUCAACGUAAAUCUAAUCAAAUCCUAACCA